GACGAACGCUGGCGGCGUGCCUAAUACAUGCAAGUCGAGCGAAGUUUUUCUGGUGCUUGCACCGGAAAAACUUAGCGGCGAACGGGUGAGUAACACGUAAAGAACCUGCCUCAUAGACUGGGACAACUAUUGGAAACGAUAGCUAAUACCGGAUAAUAGCAUUAACUGCAUGGUUGAUGUUUAAAAGUUGGUUUUGCUAACACUAUGAGAUGGCUUUGCGGUGCAUUAGCUAGUUGGUGGGGUAAAGGCCUACCAAGGCGACGAUGCAUAGCCGACCUGAGAGGGUGAUCGGCCACACUGGGACUGAGACACGGCCCAGACUCCUACGGGAGGCAGCAGUAGGGAAUCUUCCGCAAUGGGCGAAAGCCUGACGGAGCCACGCCGCGUGAGUGAAGAAGGAUUUCGGUUCGUAAAGCUCUGUUGUUAGGGAAGAAUGAUUGUGUAGUAACUAUACACAGUAGUGACGGUACCUAACCAGAAAGCCACGGCUAACUACGUG
rnacentral:rRNA from 1 species